rnacentral:rRNA from 1 species
AUUGAACGCUGGCGGCAGGCCUAACACAUGCAAGUCGAGCGGAUGAAGGGAGCUUGCUCCUGGAUUAAUCGGCGGACGGGUGAGUAAUGCUUAGGAAUCUGCCUGGUCGUGGGGGAUAACGUCCUGAAACGGGCGCUAAUACCGCAUACGUCCUGUGGGAGAAAGUGGGGGAUCUUCGGACGUCACGCUUUUAGAUGAGCCUAGGUCGGAUGAGAUUGUUGGUGGGGUAAAGGCCUCCAAAUGCGUGGUUCCGUAACUGGUCUGAGAGGAUGAUCAGUCACAAAGAAACUGAGACACAGACCAGACGCCAACGGGAGGCAGGAGGAGAAGAUAUGGGGCGAAGGGCGAAAGCCUAACCCAGCCAUGCCGCGUGUGUGAAGGAGGUCUUCGGAUUGUAAAGCACUGUAAGUUGGGAGGAAGGGCAGUAAGUUAAUAUCUUGCGUUUUUGACGUUACCAGCAGAAUAAGCACCGGCUAACUUCGUG